UCCGCCAUGGAAACUGAGUUUGGCUUGGUGGAUAAAGUAUUGUUCCCUACUCUCAAUAUAUGGUAUUCUUUUCGGUAACAGUGUGCCCAUGUUCUUCCGAAGUUUAGAAUUGAGCAAUAUUAGCCAACGUCACGUCAAUCAUACAAAUCCAGCCGUAUUAUUCCAGCCCAACACUGCCCUAAAUGGCUUUUUUUAACUCUUUCUACUAUUGAUGUCAUGUAUGAAGUGCCAUCCAUACAAAUACCAAAUUUUGAUGCCAAAAGUUACCAUUGAUUGAGUCUCAGUGCCCGAUAACAUUUCCAUGUCCCAUUUAAGUACACCACCGCGCUCAUAUAGACUUGAACCAAGCUGAUUCUGAUUUGAAACGUAUAGUCGGCACCGAGUUUAAAUAUAUCAUACAGAUUCAAAUGUUCCGGUGAUAGUUAUUCUCGUAUGGGAAACAAGUUACGUCUCCUAAUUUUUACUUUGAAAGGCGAACAUCAUUCUCCUAGUACCUUUUGGACUCGGAUUUGAAAGUAUCUGAAUAAAAAACUAAGCAGUGUGUAAAAAUGCAUGGAUGAUCACUUAUUCUUUGUUCCAUAUACAUCCGCUGACUCCAAUUUACCUUCUCAAGUUCUUUCUGCAAUCUUGGAGUUGCAUCCAUAUCCACAGACAUGAUAGGUAUUCUGCAAGAUACUAAACGAUGUUAGAAGUUCCCUUUAUCUCCAUCUUUGUUCAAUAACAUCAGUUCAAAGCAUAAGUGAAAUUGAGAAUGCCCUUCGUAACCUCAAUGGAUGAUUCCAUAUAUGAUAUAUCGCCAGCCUAAAAAGAAUUGCAACAUGUAGAACACCAAACAAACAGUAAUUAAGAACAAUAGCUGGUUUUCCAGUUUCAGUGUAGCUCUGAUCAACAAAGUAUUAAUGGAAGAAAUACGCGAUACAAUCCCGUUUUCCCACCAUUCCUUCGAGACAUUGAGAGUGCCCUAUAUAUACUCCAUAAUAAAGAUAAUAACGUACAUUUACGCUGAUCAGUUGGAGAAAGUUCACACAUUCACUCUAUUAAAUUCUAGCCAUGCUAACGCCCUUGGAAUCUCCUCAAAACUCAAGUUGACCGUUUAGAAGGUUGACAGAGUAAGUGAUCCUUCAGACCCUUAAUAACUACGUCUACCUCUUUUUUCCCAUGUUUAGGAACACAGGGGCACGACUCCGAUCAGCAAGCACUAUGGUUUCUUUCUAUCUUUCGCUUGGCCCUCAGUACAAAAGACAGAAUCAUGACCUAUUUUCACCAACACUUCCAUAUCAACAGUGGAGUGCUCUUUUACCAUUAUCGAUGACUGCUCACUAACCAUCAGGUAUGGUACAUAAUGUGCCAAUCACUACUACAUAAAUGAAACAGUGUGGAUAAGAUGGGCCAAUUCAGGGUUAAUCACUUAAAGGGUUGAUAUGAUGAUCACAUUACAGUUGAAAUUGUCUCAAGGCCCAUGUGGCCGUGCCAAUGAUUUCAAUUUUCAUUUUGUGAUUGGCUUAAUGAUGUUUGCUUGU
rnacentral:rRNA from 1 species